UGGUGGGUAGUUUGACUGGGGCGGUCUCCUCCUAAAGAGUAACGGAGGAGCACGAAGGUUGGCUAAUCCUGGUCGGACAUCAGGAGGUUAGUGCAAUGGCAUAAGCCAGCUUGACUGCGAGCGUGACGGCGCGAGCAGGUGCGAAAGCAGGUCAUAGUGAUCCGGUGGUUCUGAAUGGAAGGGCCAUCGCUCAACGGAUAAAAGGUACUCCGGGGAUAACAGGCUGAUACCGCCCAAGAGUUCAUAUCGACGGCGGUGUUUGGCACCUCGAUGUCGGCUCAUCACAUCCUGGGGCUGAAGUAGGUCCCAAGGGUAUGGCUGUUCGCCAUUUAAAGUGGUACGCGAGCUGGGUUUAGAACGUCGUGAGACAGUUCGGUCCCUAUCUGCCGUGGGCGCUGGAGAACUGAGGGGGGCUGCUCCUAGUACGAGAGGACCGGAGUGGACGCAUCACUGGUGUUCGGGUU
rnacentral:rRNA from 3 species